GAAAACAACGCUACGACAGACAGAAAAAGUUGAAAUGUUUUAACUGUCUCUGGCGGUAAAUCCCGUCUACUGUGGCGGCUGACUGCAUAUACAAUCGUAAAUUCAUUGAAAACAAUGGCAUCCGGUUUGCCGUCUACCAACGACGUCUACCGCCUACCACAUAAACGCAGCAUCAGGCUUGCCAGUUUUUCUCCCUCAGUUGAUUAAUUAGCUACUUAAAACAGAUUACAGGCCGUUUAACCAGGGGAUGACGCUUAGGUUAUAUUGGGCAGACACACUUGAUGCUGAUGGGACUAGAUAGGAAUUUAAAAAGUUCAAUGUGGAGUCGCUAUGCCAUCAGAACAUGCAAGGCUUCUUCGGUGGCCUUUGCCCCCUAAAAAGAUUCCCCCCAUUGUGAAACCACUUCCUCCACCUAUAUUUUCAGAGAGAAAGGCUCUGAAGGACAGUGCCACAGAGGGGAUGGAGUCGAGUUGCCAUGUGCUUCCUCUUUGGGACUAUGACCCUGCAGCCUUCAGAGUGGCCCCCACUCCCCUGACCUCAGUCCCAAUGAUGCUGAUGCCUAAAAUAAUUGAGGGCUUCUGCUGUUAACCCCAAUGCACCCUCCCUAAAAUCCCCCUCCUCGACCGCCUCAAGACAGACCCCAGAUGCAUCCCUUCUCUCCCUACCUUUAGCUUCAAUGAUUUCCUGCGGGACCCUAAUGGCAGCAGUGAUCACCAGUUGCUGGAGGGCCUGAAGAAAGUGGCCCUGUCUCGCUGCAACUAGAGAAAGUUGGUUGGGUUCUUCCUAAUGUAACUGCACCAAGGGCAGCGGGCUGAAGUGUCCAAGCAGCUGAAGUGUCCAAGUCCACUGAGAAAGUGCUUGAGGCAAAGACCAGAAUCCCACAGAGGCAGAUCAUAUGUGAAACACACUGUAUAUAAUAUAUUAAAAGAUGACCUGCCAUUGUAGUAGGCUAGAGUCCAGAUUGUAUUAUUAAGUGGGUAUUGUAUGACAAGGAUGCUUGCUUUUGUAAGUUACAGUGGUGUACUGUUUCCUCAUGCGUAUUGUGUGUGUGUUAGUAUUUGUUGUGUUAUCUGAUUAAAACGGACAGCAUUGAUCCGUAUGGAGGUGCAGGCUCAGAUGAUGUGUUGGUUGAGCUGUCAGGGAGAUUAGACCUGCAGGUCUGAGCAGAGGUCUGUAGAGAUCUGAGUACCACCAGGGGAAAGACAAUAUGUUCAGAAGCAGGAAAACGUAUAUCCCCAGGCAAGGACAUGUUUGCCUUCUUACUUACUAUACCAUAACCAACACUACAUACCUCUUAAAACACACCUUUUUAUUGGUGCCUUUCUUUAUCAUGCUUUUUAGUCGUUCAGUUUUGAUUUAUUGUUUCGUUUUUUUCAUCUUAUGUUUGUUGUAUUGUAAAUAUUUCAGUUUUUAUUUUCCUGUGUAGCACAUUGCGUUGCAUUCCUUGUCUGAAAUGUGCUGUAUAAAUAAAGCUUGAUUUGAUGA